rnacentral:misc_RNA from 1 species
UUCUUUGUUUUCUUCGUCAUCAUCGAUUCAUUUUCUGAUGAUGACGAAGAAAAACUCUCCGAAGAGGUCGUUGUUAACGAUCUCUUCGAACCAACCCGAACUGGUUCGGGUUCGCCCGAAUUAACCCUCAACGGAAAAUUCAACAAUGCACGCGAACCCCUAAUUCGAUACGCCGCCUUAUCAUAAGCCAAUGCCGCAUCCUCCGCCGUCUCGUAGGUUCCCAGCCACACUCUCGCCCCAUUCUUCGCCGGAUCCCUAAUUUCCGCCGCGAAUUUUCCCCAUGGCCUCUGUCUUACUCCUCUGUAAUGCAUCGAUUUCGACGACGCCGGUGUCCUCUUCACCGCCGCUGUUUUCAAUUCCACUUCCAAUUUCACCUCCGCCGCCGACUCCGCCGCUGCCGGAGCUGUAAAUCCGGUGAAAUCGAACAUUUCCGGCGAAC